GACGAACGCUGGCGGCGUGCUUAACACAUGCAAGUCGAACGGAAAGGCCCUGCUUUUGUGGGGUGCUCGAGUGGCGAACGGGUGAGUAACACGUGAGUAACCUGCCCUUGACUUUGGGAUAACUUCAGGAAACUGGGGCUAAUACCGGAUAGGAGCUCCUGCUGCAUGGUGGGGGUUGGAAAGUUUCGGCGGUUGGGGAUGGACUCGCGGCUUAUCAGCUUGUUGGUGAGGUAGUGGCUUACCAAGGCUUUGACGGGUAGCCGGCCUGAGAGGGUGACCGGCGACAAUGGGACUGAGAUACGGCGCAGACGGCAACGGGAGGCAGAAGUGGGGAAUAUUACACAAUAAGCGGAAGCGUGAUGCAGAAGCGCCGCGUGCGGAAUGACGGCCUACGAGUGAUAAACCGAUUUCGAAUGUGACGAAGAGUGAGUGACGGUAAUGGGUAAGGAAGCAACGGCUAACUACGUG
rnacentral:rRNA from 1 species